rnacentral:rRNA from 1 species
GAUCCUGGCUCAGGAUGUACGCUGGCGGCGUGCCUAAUACAUGCAAGUAGAACGCUGAAGCUUGGUGCUUGCACCGAGCGGAUGAGUUGCGAACGGGUGAGUAACGCGUAGGUAACCUGCCUCUUAGCGGGGGAUAACUAUUGGAAACGAUAGCUAAUACCGCAUAAAAGUCGAUAUCACAUGAAGUUGAUUUGAAAGGUGCAAUUGCAUCACUAAGAGAUGG